UACAGAGGGUGCAAGCGUUAAUCGGAAUUACUGGGCGUAAAGCGUGCGUAGACGGCUAUCUAAGUCGGGUGUGAAAGCCCCGGGCUCAACCUGGGAAUUGCAUUCGAGACUGAAUAGCUAGGGUACGGUAGAGGGAAGUGGAAUUUCCGGUGUAGCGGUGAUAUGCGUAGAUAUCGGGAGGAACACCGGUGGCGAAGGCGGCAUUCCUUGGGACCGUACUGAUCGCGCUGAUGACCGCGGAAAAGCCAGGGGUAGG
rnacentral:rRNA from 1 species